rnacentral:misc_RNA from 1 species
GAUGAAGAACGUAGCGAAAUGCGAUAAGUAAUGUGAAUUGCAGAAUUCAGUGAAUCAUCGAAUCUUUGAACGCACAUUGCGCCCUCUGGUAUUCCGGGGGGCAUGCCUGUUCGAGCGUCAUUACAACCCUCAAGCUUUGCUUGGUAUUGGACAUUGCCAGUUUCUGGCAGGUCUUAAAAUCAGUGGCGGUGCCAUUUGGCUUCAAGCGUAGUAAUUCUUCUCGCUUUGGAGAUCCAGGUGGUUACUUGCCAAUAACCCCCAAUUUUUUCAGGUUGACCUCGGAUCAGGUAGGGAUACCCGCUGAACUUAAGCAUAUCAAUAAUCGGAGGA